AACGAUAAAGCGGGUGAAAAGCCCGCUCGCCGGAAGACCAAGGGUUCCUGUCCAACGUUAAUCGGGGCAGGGUGAGUCGACCCCUAAGGCGAGGCCGAAAGGCGUAGUCGAUGGGAAACAGGUUAAUAUUCCUGUACUUGGUGUUACUGCGAAGGGGGGACGGAGAAGGCUAUGUUGGCCGGGCGACGGUUGUCCCGGUUUAAGCGUGUAGGCUGGUUUUCCAGGCAAAUCCGGAAAAUCAAGGCUGAGGCGUGAUGACGAGGCACUACGGUGCUGAAGCAACAAAUGCCCUGCUUCCAGGAAAAGCCUCUAAGCAUCAGGUAACAUCAAAUCGUACCCCAAACCGACACAGGUGGUCAGGUAGAGAAUACCAAGGCGCUUGAGAGAACUCGGGUGAAGGAACUAGGCAAAAUGGUGCCGUAACUUCGGGAGAAGGCACGCUGAUAUGUAGGUGAAGUCCCUCGCGGAUGGAGCUGAAAUCAGUCGAAGAUACCAGCUGGCUGCAACUGUUUAUUAAAAACACAGCACUGUGCAAACACGAAAGUGGACGUAUACGGUGUGACGCCUGCCCGGUGCCGGAAGGUUAAUUGAUGGGGUCAGCGCAAGCGAAGCUCUUGAUCGAAGCCCCGGUAAACGGCGGCCGUAACUAUAACGGUCCUAAGGUAGCGAAAUUCCUUGUCGGGUAAGUUCCGACCUGCACGAAUGGCGUAAUGAUGGCCAGGCUGUCUCCACCCGAGACUCAGUGAAAUUGAACUCGCUGUGAAGAUGCAGUGUACCCGCGGCAAGACGGAAAGACCCCGUGAACCUUUACUAUAGCUUGACACUGAACAUUGAGCCUUGAUGUGUAGGAUAGGUGGGAGGCUUUGAAGUGUGGACGCCAGUCUGCAUGGAGCCGACCUUGAAAUACCACCCUUUAAUGUUUGAUGUUCUAACGUGGACCCGUGAUCCGGGUUGCGGACAGUGUCUGGUGGGUAGUUUGACUGGGGCGGUCUCCUCCUAAAGAGUAACGGAGGAGCACGAAGGUUGGCUAAUCCUGGUCGGACAUCAGGAGGUUAGUGCAAUGGCAUAAGCCAGCUUGACUGCGAGCGUGACGGCGCGAGCAGGUGCGAAAGCAGGUCAUAGUGAUCCGGUGGUUCUGAAUGGAAGGGCCAUCGCUCAACGGAUAAAAGGUACUCCGGGGAUAACAGGCUGAUACCGCCCAAGAGUUCAUAUCGACGGCGGUGUUUGGCACCUCGAUGUCGGCUCAUCACAUCCUGGGGCUGAAGUAGGUCCCAAGGGUAUGGCUGUUCGCCAUUUAAAGUGGUACGCGAGCUGGGUUUAGAACGUCGUGAGACAGUUCGGUCCCUAUCUGCCGUGGGCGCUGGAGAACUGAGGGGGGCUGCUCCUAGUACGAGAGGACCGGAGUGGACGCAUCACUGGUGUUCGGGUUGUCAUGCCAAUGGCACUGCCCGGUAGCUAAAUGCGGAAGAGAUAAGUGCUGAAAGCAUCUAAGCACGAAACUUGCC
rnacentral:rRNA from 1 species